rnacentral:lncRNA from 12 species
CUCACAAUGACCACUGGAUGACAGUCUUCGAGGAUCUGUGAUGCUGGAAGGGAGCUGAGAGCUACAGAGAAGGGGAUAGACAUCCCCAGAGAAGCAUGUUGUGGGUGCGAGUAGAGACUGAGCUCUGCGUCCUCAGCUUCUUGUCCCAGCUCUGCCUCAGAGAAGCCUGUUGUUUUCAGCUCUGGGCUUCACUCUCCUCGUUGGGAAAAUAUGAGUAAGACUAGAGCCCCCCUCCUAGAUGUGUUGUGAGAGUUAAAUAAAGUGAUGAAUACACAGCGCACCACCCAGGAUAAGGAGGAUAAGGCGAGUUACAACAUCACAACAAGAGCCAGUAUUUUCUGAUGUGCGCUACUCCCAGUCCCUGUGCUGAGAGCUUUGACUCCAUUCUGCAGCUGAGCUCUCCAGGAGUCUGGGGAGCAGAUGGACAUUUUAAUAAUGAGGAGUCUACACUGGAGGCUUUACUGUGGGAGGAGCCCACAGGCCUGGCCAGCCCUGGGGACCUAAGAAGUCAGUUCAACAGUAACAUACGACUGUGUGGUUCUGCCCUAUACCUGAUGAGUCUGCAGGCACCUGGCAAGCCUCCUCCCUGAAGCCUCGCUAGAGGACAAAAGCCAUGCUUCCUGCCCUCUAUCUAGCAAGCUGCCUGGAGCUUCCCUGUCAGGCCCCGCUGUGGCUUCGGCCAAAGGACCAGUCAUCAGUUUCCCUGCCUGGCCUGCUUCCACAGCACCCACCCCUGCUGCCUCCGGGACCACCUGGGAGCCCUCUAAAACCACAUCCCCCACCCCAGAUCGAUUGAACAGAAUCCCCAGGAGGCCCUGCAAACUGUCAUCUUGCAAAAGAACACGAGGGAAUUUGGGAGACUGAGGAUUUAGUCUGUCUUCUUCCAAGAAUUAUAUCAUUCCUCCAACAUGUGGGCCAGUCAUUUGAUCUCCUGAGGUCUCAUUAUUCUCCUGUAUAACGUGAAAAUUCCGUCCCUAAGCUUCCUCCCAGAACUGAAGCUCUCACGCACAAUAGUAUUUCUUUUCAUUUCUGAAGACACCUUAGAUUUUAUCCCAUCACGGGGCUGUUGUGGCAAGCAUCCCUGUUCUCUGUACAAAGCUGUGUAGAUUUGGGACCCUGGGAUGGGUCUAAACUAAGGCUGUAGCAUAGCCCAGAAUUUGUCUCAAAAUAUAUAAAUACAUUUUUAAUUCUUAGUAAAGUAAAAUAAAGGCAACUCCAGCAGACCUUCUGAUGAAUAC